rnacentral:lncRNA from 1 species
UUCAUUGCAGUAUCACUCUCACUAAUUUCCGCCGAUUUUCAGAUCUGAAUUUUGUUGUUUGUUGAUUUUCCAAAAAAUUAAAAUUAAAUCAGAAUUAAUGAUGUUUGGAGAACAUGUGUUGUUGUUAUUUUUCUUGAACUUGUAAUUGCUAACCCAACCCAUAUCCUUCACCAAGAUCAAAGGAAUGAACACGUGAGAGGUAGAGACCAGGAAGGAGA